rnacentral:rRNA from 2 species
AGUUUGAUCCUGGCUCAGGACGAACGCUGGCGGCGUGCCUAAUACAUGCAAGUCGAACGCACUCUCGUUUAGAUUGAAGGAGCUUGCUCCUGAUUGAUAAACAUUUGAGUGAGUGGCGGACGGGUGAGUAACACGUGGGUAACCUGCCCUAAAGUGGGGGAUAACAUUUGGAAACAGAUGCUAAUACCGCAUAAAACCUAACACCGCAUGGUGUAGGGUUGAAAGAUGGUUUCGGCUAUCACUUUAGGAUGGACCCGCGGUGCAUUAGUUAGUUGGUGAGGUAAAGGCUCACCAAGACCGUGAUGCAUAGCCGACCUGAGAGGGUAAUCGGCCACACUGGGACUGAGACACGGCCCAGACUCCUACGGGAGGCAGCAGUAGGGAAUCUUCCACAAUGGACGAAAGUCUGAUGGAGCAACGCCGCGUGAGUGAAGAAGGUUUUCGGAUCGUAAAACUCUGUUGUUGGAGAAGAAUGUAUCUGAUAGUAACUGAUCAGGUAGUGACGGUAUCCAACCAGAAAGCCAC